ACUAAACCUCCUAGUUAAAUUUCCUGCUAAAUAAAUAAAUAAAUAAACAUUGUCAUGCUGGAACCAGUACAGCAUCGUUUAAUUAUGACAAUGUCAGUUAAUUUCAUUCCUUAGUAGCGAUAUUUCUGCAUACCCAAGGUCUGGGCUUAUCUUAAUUUAUUGAUUCUAAAUCAAACUGACCUUAUACUAGUAUAACAUAAUUCUUGUAACAAAGUACUUAAUAUAUUAUGAUAACGAUAUACUUAUGCCCAAAGGGACAAUAGAGUGCUUGUGUUGUUUGGGUGAUUAAAAGGCCUAAAACCAAGCCAGGUAGUGGUGGCACACACCUUUAAUUUCAGCACUCGGGAAGCAGGGGCAGUUGGAUCUCUGUGAGUUUGAGACAAGCCUAGUCUCAGUGAGUUCCAGGGCUACAUGGAGAAAAAUCUUGUCUUGAAAAACUGGAAGAGGGGGACUUAACCCAAAAUCUAUCUCUCUCUCUCUCUCUCUCUCUCUCUCUCUCUCUCUCUCUCUCUCUCGUUCAAGACAGAGUCUCACUGUGCUCUGGCUGGUCUGGAACUCACAGAGUUCCUCCAACUCCUGACUCCUAACGCUGGGAGCCAAGGCAUGCACCGCCCUGCCUGGCAUAGCCUUGUUAUAGUCGUGCAUCUCGACUCCUAGCGCUUCUAGAUACAUCGAUGUCGGCAUAUGGCUUCUGACACCUGGACAACUGUAACAGACGCUCCCGCUGGCUUCCCUGUCUCAAGCACACUCUGGACAUCUAGCCGACCCAUUUCUACUUUCUCACCUACCUUUCGGGCUCAACAAGGGCUCCAGGGCAGGGACUAUUGCUGCUUAUCACUGAUGAGAAUCAGGCACAGUGAAAUGUAGUACCAGAACCUGUUACAUCUACUCAUUCUGUUGGUAAAGGCCCUGGUCCUCCGUGGACAGGGCAUCCCUGUCCAAGCUGAAGCUGGAGCCCCCUUCUGGAACUCUCUACCACUUUCACCUUUCCCUCUUUAUUCACGAUAGAGUUAUUUGAUGCUUGUCUUAAUCUGCGACCCCCCCCCCAAAAAAAAAAGGUUUAAAAGUUCAGAAACUCAAGCAUGACUCGUUUUGGAACUCCCAAGUAUCCUAAUGAUUCUUCUGUAAUAAUGCUACUGAUAGGGUUCUUAGGGUGUCAAGAGUCAAACAAAAGGACUUCUUUGUAUUUCAAACAAAAGGACAUUUUUGUACUGAUAAUGUUUGCUCUAGAAACAUUUAAAGAAAAAAAAAGGGGUGUUAUCAAUGGCUUUCUUGUAGGUUCGCCGUUCUUUCUCCAAAUGCCUGUUCGGCAGCAAUGGGAUCAGAGAGGGCCUGGGCAGCACCUCCGGCCAGCGCCCGCCCGCAUGCCAUGCCCGGCUCUGCGAGCCCACGGCGCCCUCUGGUGGACGCUGGCAGUCGCUGCUGUGAGUUGAGCUGAGGAAGAGGACCAUUCCUUUUUGCCCUGGUUUGCUCUGGCUUCUCUCUCUGUUAGAUGCAGUCCAAACCAGCGAUGAAUGGAUCGGGGAAUGGAGUCUAAGGAGGGUUCCAGAGGCUCUGUCAUCUCGUGCUGAGCAUCUGCAAAGUAGUUGGGCAAGGGAAAGAGUUCUUCUUAUCUCUACCAGGGCUUUUGGAAGAGGCACCUAACCCAGGAGAGGGUGCAAUGGGCACCACGUAGUCCUAGGAGAAUUCUGCUCUCAUGCCACGUAUACGCCAUUACCCUCUCUUUUCCCCAUUAGUCACCAUCUCAAAAAUAUGCUGUUGUUCUGAGAUGCGGUCUCAUUUUGUUAGAGAGGCUGCCUUGACUCAGUUUUCCAGGCUGGCUGAUCGAACUUCUGAUUUUCCUCUUGCUGUGCCUCCAAAAUGCCCGGAUUGGAUAUACACCAUCAUGCCCAUUUUUCGCCUACUUUGGAUACAAUAUUUUUAACCCUUCAUUUCACAUUUCUCUCCUGCCACUGCUCAGCCUCGGUCCUUCCUCCUCCCAUUCCUUAAGUUCCUUAUUUUCGAGGUCUCCAUUUCUGCAGUCUGCCCUCAGCCCACCCACGGUGCUUACUGGACCCAUCUCCCAUUUCCACCAUCCUCAGCCCUGGUUUGUAGUCUGCACCUGACAGAGCGGUGCUCUGCAGUAGACGAUGUAGGGUCCCCUCCCUCCCUGGUUUCCAUGACAUCUGAGCCCUCCACGCUUUCCCCCACCUCCUGGCUUCUCCUCUCCAGUUUCUUUUGUUUUCUCUUUUGGCCUUCCUCUUACGUGCAUCAUUAUUCGGCAGGCAUGAUGCUGAAUGCCGAGAUAAAGGCCCUCUGGAAGAGGACAGGUGGAAAACGGGCCUGGGAUGGGAGGAUGGACAAACGGCCCAUUAACUGCGCAGAGAACUAAAAAUAGAGCUGGCAUCACCCAUGUCCAGGUGAGUGAGAGUCCUAGACCUCCAGACACUUGAGGCCUCUCUCUCUCUCUCGGACCAGGUUUGUCUACUUCAUCUAAGCAACAACCAGAGGCUCCCGGGACAUCUUACUGCCCUGAAGGGAGGUUAUGGAUAUGAGUCCCCUGCUCCAAGCUUCCGGGUUUCCAUAGGAAGAAGAACACAUUUGGCAGAUUCAUCCCCUUGACUGAACCUGCCUGGGUGACCCAAGUAGCUGGAAAAUCUGGAAGAGAACAGGGAGAAGAUCCAAGUUUCCAGGUCCCUGUCUGACGAGUUACCAGCUGCGUGAACUGGAGCGAACCCCUUAAUGUCUCUGAGUGCCAGUGUUUCCGUCCUCCAAAGGAAGCCAGUCAUCUCUGCUUCCUACUCACACUGCAGCUCACAGCCCGGAGGAGGCUUGUGAAAGCAUAGAAAACUCCAGAGGCCAGUGCAGAUGUAAAUAACAGCUUUGUGAAAAAAAAAAAAUGUUGUUCCUCCAAGAUGACAGCUGUCAUUUCAUUGUUCAGAACUCAAUAUUGGACAGAAAUCCUAAAUGUCAGUAGUUUGUAGUUUAGUGUAGAGAGAACAUUUCUUUACAUUUCAGGUAAGAGCUCGUCUAUGAUCCACUCCAAAAUGUAGGUGUGUCCUAAAACUGCAUCCCAAACAGGAAAAAAUGCCUCCGGAUGCCCUGAAGGAGCUAGCUUUUCUUUCUCCACACAGACUUCCUAGAACAACACUUGCGAGCACCAUGGAGCCUCCCUCCUUCAGGACCCAUCUGUCAGCUCUCCCUAAGGAUGCCCUUCUCAUGUGAGUCAGUUAUGAUUGUUAGAAAAUGACUCUGAAAUGAGAGUCUGAACGUGCUUCCACCUAGCAUUUUGCCUGCCCUUCAUAGCCUACAAGUCUCUCUCGCACACAAACUGGGACCUUGUUGGACUUCCUCAUCCUAGACAAGACACCUGGAGUGCACUCCUCACCAUCUUAAUUAGCUUUCUGCUGCUGUGACCAAGGCAACAUAUAGAAGAAUUUAUUCUGGACUUCCAGAUUUAGGGGGUUAGAGUCCAUGACCAACACGGCAGCAGGCAGGCAGACAUGGCCCUGGAGCCGUAGCUGAGAGCUUACGUCUCUUCCCAUAAGUAUCAGACAGAGAGAGCUAACUGGGAAUGGUGGGAGCUUUUGAAGCCUCAAAGCCCAUCCCCAGUGACAUACUUCCUCCAACAAGGCCACACCUCCUAAUCCUUUCCAAAUAGUUUCACCAGCUGGGGAUUAACCAUUCAAAUGUAUGAGCCUAUGGGAGCUGUUCUCAUUCAAACCACCACACCCACACAACAGGGCUUCCAAUCCCAUUGCCCACCUGAUGAUGGUCCUUGGGACACACUGAGGUUGUCAAGGUCCCUUCAAGUGUUCCUGGGUUAGUCUCCUGUUGCUGUGAAAUAAAUUGCCCUAAACCCUCAUGACCUAAGCAUGUAUCCUAUUGUUCUCGGACUCAGGAAUCCAGAGAUGGUUUAGCUGGGGAUUUUUACUCUGGCUCCAUCAUGAGGGCCCGAAUGUCAUCCGAUCUGGAAUGCAUGGAACCUAAACCACAUUUCAUCACUUCUGCCAAUAUAUCAUCGCCAACACUAACAAACUCAAUAUCUUCCAGAUUCAACUUGGCCUGUCAAAUCAGAGUCAAAUGUAGCUGGUAGAAAAUUACUUACGAAUCAAUAUAUAGUUGGGUGUGGUAGUUGAGACUCUGACUAAUAAACUCUCCUAUAGGAGAUCUGACUGAAAUUUGACCAAAUUGAAAAAAAAAAAAAAAGAUGGCCUCUAAGCCAGAGAUUGAAAAUGUGGUGUCUGGUAAAUGGGCCACAUCACAGUCAUUGGAAUCUGAUUAAAAGGCAUAUUCCCUGAGUAGCAGGGGUACAGCUCCACAUUAGAAAGCUUGUCUGCCCUAUGUGAGCCCUUGAGCCCUGGAUUCAAGUACCUUUAUGGAAAGGAUCUGGAAUUCAGGCAGGAUGGUUGGUGUGGGGGUGAGUGGGUGGGGUUGAAGCAGAUGUCAGUAUGCUUGGAAAGCCGUGCAGCCUACAUCUGGACAGAUCAAGCAGAGGAACUUGUCAUAAGAGAACAGUAUUUUAAAUAUUCUGCUAAUAAAACUAAAGGUUUUUAUUUUCCCCAAACCAAGGAACUGGAACAUUAUUCCAAUUUCCCACAGGGAUGCUAACAAAUCUCAUCAGGAAGCCAGACCUACAACUCAGAAAACUCAUGCAAGAUAAUGGCUAGCAUGGAUUUGUCUGCCAGUGACUAAGGGGCCUUCUCUCUGGAAAAGAAGUCCUUUAAAACUAUGACAUGAAUCUCAGAGGUCAACAGUACAAACACAAACUGUUUCAGAUGGAAAAAUGAUUAUAAGAAAAUUUCGCUGCCGAUGCCAAUAGCUAGGAAAACAAACAAAUAAAAAUCAAAUGAUAAACUGGGGAAAAGAUUUAUAAUCCAUAUAAAAGGGCCUUUGAAUGAUCCUUUCUGGUGACUUCUCUUUCCAUUCUACAGGGUUUUGAGGGAGGUUUGCUGACUUUUUUUACACUUCACUGUUGCUGGAAGUGUUGCUGAGUCCUUAAAACACAAUCACACGAACAAAACCUCAGCUGUUUUUGUACAAAGCAUCCAACAGCUACCAUGGGUUAACCAGCUUUCUGUCAGUGUAAGUGAAAUGACUGAAGUCACGCCAUCUUGUCCUGAUCUUACCCUAGCUUUACUUUAUGUCUGCUUGGGUGCUUUUUAGUCCCUGACCCUGAACAGUCACACUUUGGCAACCCAUUAGGAACUUUCCAUGAUCCUGACCAUGGUCCAAACGCAUGACCAAAAUAUCUGCUUAACGUAUAGCACACACAAAUGUCACCAGGUUCCCCUGAGCUACACCUGACAAUAAUGUCACUGUGCGUUUUGGCUUUAAAAAUUCUGUACCCCUGAACUUUGUGCCAAGAGUUUUUCUGAGGCACUAGUCUGCUCCAG